rnacentral:rRNA from 1 species
GACGAACGCUGGCGGCGUGCCUAAUACAUGCAAGUCGAGCGGAAGUUGGAGAGCUUGCUCUUCAACUUUAGCGGCGGACGGGUGAGUAACACGUGGGCAACCUGCCCUGCAGAUCGGGAUAACUCCGGGAAACCGGUGCUAAUACCGAAUAGUUUUCGCCACCUCCUGGUGGCGUACGGAAAGACGGUUUCGGCUGUCACUGCAGGGUGGGCCCGCGGCGCAUUAGCUAGUUGGUGGGGUAAUGGCCCACCAAGGCGACGAUGCGUAGCCGACCUGAGAGGGUGAUCGGCCACACUGGGACUGAGACACGGCCCAGACUCCUACGGGAGGCAGCAGUAGGGAAUCUUCCGCAAUGGACGAAAGUCUGACGGAGCAACGCCGCGUGAGUGACGAAGGUUUUCGGAUCGUAAAACUCUGUUGUGAGGGAAGAACAAGUACCAAUUAACUACUGGUACCUUGACGGUACCUCACCAGAAAGCCACGGCUAACUACGUGCCAGCCGCCGCGGUAAAAC